GACGAACGCUGGCGGCGUGCUUAACACAUGCAAGUCGAACGGAAAGGCCCCUUUGGGGGUACUCGAGUGGCGAACGGGUGAGUAACACGUGAGUAACCUGCCCUUGACUUCGGGAUAACUUCAGGAAACUGGGGCUAAUACCGGAUAGGAAUCCUUGCUGCAUGGUGGGGGUUGGAAAGCUUCGGCGGUUUUGGAUGGACUCGCGGCUUAUCAGCUUGUUGGUGGGGUAGUGGCUUACCAAGGCUUUGACGGGUAGCCGGCCUGAGAGGGCGACCGGCCACAUUGGGACUGAGAUACGGCCCAGACCCCUACGGGGGGCAGCAGUGGGGAAUAUUGCAAAAUGGGGGGAAGCCUGAUGCAGCAACGCCGCGUGCGGGAUGACGGCCUUCGGGUUGUAAACCGCUUUCAGCAGGGGCGAAGCUUGGGGUGACGGUACCGGAAAAAGAAGCACCGGCUAACUACGU
rnacentral:rRNA from 1 species